AAUUGCCUCUUGGUCAGGGUGCUCCUUGCCAAUUUUGUCUGAGCUUAGAAUCUAAGCAGUCCUUGAUCUUAUUAGUACUUUGAUGGGAGACCACUUGGGAAUGUCAGGUGCUGUAAAUU
rnacentral:rRNA from 1 species